GGGUUGUGAGGUUAAGCGACUAAGCGUACACGGUGGAUGCCCUGGCAGUCAGAGGCGAUGAAGGACGUGCUAAUCUGCGAUAAGCGUCGGUAAGGUGAUAUGAACCGUUAUAACCGGCGAUUUCCGAAUGGGGAAACCCAGUGUGAUUCGUCACACUAUCAUUAACUGAAUCCAUAGGUUAAUGAGGCGAACCGGGGGAACUGAAACAUCUAAGUACCCCGAGGAAAAGAAAUCAACCGAGAUUCCCCCAGUAGCGGCGAGCGAACGGGGAGCAGCCCAGAGCCUGAAUCAGUGUGUGUGUUAGUGGAAGCGUCUGGAAAGGCGUGCGAUACAGGGUGACAGCCCCGUACACAAAAAUGCACAUAUUGUGAGCUCGAUGAGUAGGGCGGGACACGUGGUAUCCUGUCUGAAUAUGGGGGGACCAUCCUCCAAGGCUAAAUACUCCUGACUGACCGAUAGUGAACCAGUACCGUGAGGGAAAGGCGAAAAGAACCCCGGCGAGGGGAGUGAAAAAGAACCUGAAACCGUGUACGUACAAGCAGUGGGAGCACGCUUAGGCGUGUGACUGCGUACCUUUUGUAUAAUGGGUCAGCGACUUAUAUUCUGUAGCAAGGUUAACCGAAUAGGGGAGCCGAAGGGAAACCGAGUCUUAACUGGGCGUUAAGUUGCAGGGUAUAGACCCGAAACCCGGUGAUCUAGCCAUGGGCAGGUUGAAGGUUGGGUAACACUAACUGGAGGACCGAACCGACUAAUGUUGAAAAAUUAGCGGAUGACUUGUGGCUGGGGGUGAAAGGCCAAUCAAACCGGGAGAUAGCUGGUUCUCCCCGAAAGCUAUUUAGGUAGCGCCUCGUGAAUUCAUCUCCGGGGGUAGAGCACUGUUUCGGCAAGGGGGUCAUCCCGACUUACCAACCCGAUGCAAACUGCGAAUACCGGAGAAUGUUAUCACGGGAGACACACGGCGGGUGCUAACGUCCGUCGUGAAGAGGGAAACAACCCAGACCGCCAGCUAAGGUCCCAAAGUCAUGGUUAAGUGGGAAACGAUGUGGGAAGGCCCAGACAGCCAGGAUGUUGGCUUAGAAGCAGCCAUCAUUUAAAGAAAGCGUAAUAGCUCACUGGUCGAGUCGGCCUGCGCGGAAGAUGUAACGGGGCUAAACCAUGCACCGAAGCUGCGGCAGCGACACUAUGUGUUGUUGGGUAGGGGAGCGUUCUGUAAGCCUGUGAAGGUGUACUGUGAGGUAUGCUGGAGGUAUCAGAAGUGCGAAUGCUGACAUAAGUAACGAUAAAGCGGGUGAAAAGCCCGCUCGCCGGAAGACCAAGGGUUCCUGUCCAACGUUAAUCGGGGCAGGGUGAGUCGACUCCUAAGGCGAGGCCGAAAGGCGUAGUCGAUGGGAAACAGGUUAAUAUUCCUGUACUUGGUGUUACUGCGAAGGGGGGACGGAGAAGGCUAUGUUGGCCGGGCGACGGUUGUCCCGGUUUAAGCGUGUAGGCUGGUUUUCCAGGCAAAUCCGGAAAACUAAGGCUGAGGCGUGAUGACGAGGCACUACGGUGCUGAAGCAACAAAUGCCCUGCUUCCAGGAAAAGCCUCUAAGCAUCAGGUAACAUCAAAUCGUACCCCAAACCGACACAGGUGGUCAGGUAGAGAAUACCAAGGCGCUUGAGAGAACUCGGGUGAAGGAACUAGGCAAAAUGGUGCCGUAACUUCGGGAGAAGGCACGCUGAUAUGUAGGUGAAGUCCCUCGCGGAUGGAGCUGAAAUCAGUCGAAGAUACCAGCUGGCUGCAACUGUUUAUUAAAAACACAGCACUGUGCAAACACGAAAGUGGACGUAUACGGUGUGACGCCUGCCCGGUGCCGGAAGGUUAAUUGAUGGGGUCAGCGCAAGCGAAGCUCUUGAUCGAAGCCCCGGUAAACGGCGGCCGUAACUAUAACGGUCCUAAGGUAGCGAAAUUCCUUGUCGGGUAAGUUCCGACCUGCACGAAUGGCGUAAUGAUGGCCAGGCUGUCUCCACCCGAGACUCAGUGAAAUUGAACUCGCUGUGAAGAUGCAGUGUACCCGCGGCAAGACGGAAAGACCCCGUGAACCUUUACUAUAGCUUGACACUGAACAUUGAGCCUUGAUGUGUAGGAUAGGUGGGAGGCUUUGAAGUGUGGACGCCAGUCUGCAUGGAGCCGACCUUGAAAUACCACCCUUUAAUGUUUGAUGUUCUAACGUUGACCCGUAAUCCGGGUUGCGGACAGUGUCUGGUGGGUAGUUUGACUGGGGCGGUCUCCUCCUAAAGAGUAACGGAGGAGCACGAAGGUUGGCUAAUCCUGGUCGGACAUCAGGAGGUUAGUGCAAUGGCAUAAGCCAGCUUGACUGCGAGCGUGACGGCGCGAGCAGGUGCGAAAGCAGGUCAUAGUGAUCCGGUGGUUCUGAAUGGAAGGGCCAUCGCUCAACGGAUAAAAGGUACUCCGGGGAUAACAGGCUGAUACCGCCCAAGAGUUCAUAUCGACGGCGGUGUUUGGCACCUCGAUGUCGGCUCAUCACAUCCUGGGGCUGAAGUAGGUCCCAAGGGUAUGGCUGUUCGCCAUUUAAAGUGGUACGCGAGCUGGGUUUAGAACGUCGUGAGACAGUUCGGUCCCUAUCUGCCGUGGGCGCUGGAGAACUGAGGGGGGCUGCUCCUAGUACGAGAGGACCGGAGUGGACGCAUCACUGGUGUUCGGGUUGUCAUGCCAAUGGCACUGCCCGGUAGCUAAAUGCGGAAGAGAUAAGUGCUGAAAGCAUCUAAGCACGAAACUUGCCCCGAGAUGAGUUCUCCCUGACUCCUUGAGAGUCCUGAAGGAACGUUGAAGACGACGACGUUGAUAGGCCGGGUGUGUAAGCGCAGCGAUGCGUUGAGCUAACCGGUACUAAUGAACCGUGAGGCUU
rnacentral:rRNA from 1 species